UACGAGUGCCCCAAGCGUUAUCCGGAAUUAUUGGGCGUAAAGGGUGUGUAGGCGGUUUUGUUAGUCUUCUGUCAAAUUCUUCGGCUUAACCGGGGGUCCGCAGGGGAAACGGCAAAACUUGAGGGUGCGAGAGGUGAGUAGAACUCAUAGUGUAGGGGUGAAAUCCGUUGAUAUUAUGGGGAAUACCAAAAGCGAAGGCAGCUCACUGGCGCAUUCCUGACGCUGAAACACGAAAGCGUGGGUAGCGAAUGGG
rnacentral:rRNA from 1 species